rnacentral:misc_RNA from 1 species
UCCAAAUUUGUCAAAUCAGGGGAAAGACCGCCAUGCAUGCACAAUAUUUUCUCAUCUAUUAGUGCCGCAACAGGAAGGCAAUUGAAGCAGUCAGUAAAGAUUUUCCAAAGCCUCACAUUAUAACGCCGUUUACAUUCAUCAUAAAAUCCAUAUUUCCGAUUGAUAGAGGCACAUUCAUGGUUUCCUCUCAGAAGAAAGAAGUUCUCUGGAUAUUUGAUCUUAUAAGCAAGCAAAAGGCAUAUUGU